UGUUGCUAUGGUGCUGAUUUCGUUGCUAUGCAAAUUGUUUUAUCUUUUUUCAAUAUCAUUAAAUAAUUUUAUUCGAAAAAAUCAUUAAUACACUUCUUUUAAAAAAUACACUGUGUUUUAUUGUACCCUUUUUUAUAUAUCCACCAGAGCAUAUUACUUUCUAUCUAAUUAUUACAUCAUUUUAGUGGUAUUUUGAACCUCAAAAGUGUGUUAACAUUGAGUCUUGUUGCUAUGGCAACGCAUGGGACAAAACAAAAACCACUUGGCAGAAAAAAGUUUUUUAUCAUAUACUACAAUAUGACAAUUGUUUGGAGUGAUUUUGAAACAACCCAUUUACCACCCCCUGCAUGGUCCUUACGAAGAACUGUACUUAAA
rnacentral:lncRNA from 1 species